AUUUAUCCUUGUGAUUCUGUUGGCUGUGCCUAGAGGUAGGGCGGUGCACAACCAAGAGGAGCAGGGUUCUGAGCCAGCCAGGAAGGGAGGUAGAGGAUUCGGGGGGCUGGCCGCUUUGCGCCUGUGUGAUGAGCCAUGGCUGCAGUGCAAGUGCAGGCACAAUGGGAGCUGAGGCGCUGCAGCGUGCCUGAGCUCCCUGACCUCGGGCUGGCUGUGUGCAGGUGGGCACACUAAGCUGCCAGGGCCAGGCAGUUGGUCUACACACACCUACCUCUGCACUGCCUCAGCAGAAGAUAAUGGCUUUGAUAGCAGGCAGGUAAGAGCACUGCAUUUGUAUCUGCUGGAAUGCCAGUGGGACUGGAAGGAGGCUCUUGUAACCAUAUUUGCACCCACAGAGCAGGCCAGGAAACCUAUCUGUCUCCUGGAGAAGGAAGGGACGGUCCCACUAGGCAGCUGGCUGCAUUGCCACAGACAUCCAACGCCCACUGACUCCACUCAGCCCAGCUCCGACCAGACUGUGACCAGGGCAGAUUCCUGGGUGUCCAGUGUUCGUGCUGAAUGCUGAUGGGGGGAGGAGAGGUCCCUGUCUAAUGUGAGUCCCUGGCUCCCAAGCAUGGAGCUGGGCUAGAGUGAGACCGGAUCCCAGUGGAGGGAGAAGGUGUUUAAGCCUCACACCUGCUAUGCCAUGUUCUCUGUGGCAUUCAAUGUCAUUACAAGUGCAACAAAAUAACUGUCAGCAAUAAGCCAAG